rnacentral:rRNA from 1 species
CAGCGCCGCGGGAAUACGUAGGGUGCAAGCGUUAAUCGGAAUUACUGGGCGUAAAGCGUGCGCAGGCGGUUAUAUAAGACAGAUGUGAAAUCCCCGGGCUCAACCUGGGAACUGCAUUUGUGACUGUAUAGCUAGAGUACGGCAGAGGGGGAUGGAAUUCCGCGUGUAGCAGUGAAAUGCGUAGAUAUGCGGAGGAACACCGAUGGCGAAGGCAAUCCCCUGGGCCUGUACUGACGCUCAUGCACGAAAGCGUGGGGAGCAAACAGGAUUAGAUACCCCUGUAGUCCCUGUCUCUUAUACC